GGAAGGAGGAUGGAGAGGCUGUGUCACUAUGCCCUUACCAGAGGAAGUUCCAACAUUGCCUCAGUAACUGAAGACAGGUCCUGACUGUCUCAGGCAAUAGAACGUAGAAGUUAUGAAGCAGAACUAAGAAGCCACCAAUGCUUGCUUUCUGAACUGGAAGUGAUGACAAGAAUGGUAGGAAAAUGGGACCUGACUUUUCUGCCUGUACAGAAUUUCAUCUUUGUACCAUUGGCGUAGAUGUUUCAAGGACAAGAAAAUAGCCGUCCAGCAUCAAUAUCUCAUCCCAGGAGUGCUUAUCUAUGUAUUUAGAGCAUCGCAGUUGUAUUGGGUAUUGGAUGACUGACUGGGAAGGAGGACUCCAUGGAGUGACUCAUAUAAUCUAAGUCCCAAUUUUCGGAAGCUGCAGCCAGUAAGAAAAAGACAUCAGCGGUUACAAAAGCAGUCCUGGGUGCUCCCAAAAUUUUGGGAUCCUUCAUCUCACCACCUCCUCUGAGCAGUCUCUGUGGGCUAGUCACUGAAGCAUUCUGCUCAACUUAGGACCUUCAAGGCCUGGAAGACCUCCCAGCUUUGAGGUCUAUGGGACUUGCAACUGAGAAUUGCAGCCAAGAGAAAGAGAGAUGGCAAACAUAAAAGAGGAAUUGCACAAUAUCACAAGGGAGAAGAGAAAAGAAGAGUGACUGCUGACACAUCAGACUCCAAAAGGACACCAACUGCGCUGUCACCUAUCAGGCAAGAGAGAAUGGUCACAAUACCUCACGGGGAGCAGUAGAAGACAAGCUCAACUUCUGGGUAGGAUGAGGGAAGCCUUAGACUUACAAGGCUGUGCCUGUGGGCUAGUAGAGGAUUCUGACCACCACAAGAUUAUGCAGGAACCAGGCUGAAGAGCAGCAUGGAAUGGCUAGUGAACUGGGGGUUGAAUCAACAAAUCAACCUCUAGCUUGAAAUGUUCUCUUUGUUUCUUAUAAAAUUUUCAAAAUUUUGGGUCUUACAUUAAGGUUUUUGGUCCAUUUUGGAUUGAUGCUGCAGUGGGUAAGUGUUGAGAAUCUAGUUCCAGUUUCUACACAUGUAUCUAAUUUCCCAGCACCAUUUUUCCCCACCCUGCCAUGCCCUGCCCUGCCCCUCCCCUCCCUUCCCUGCCUCUCCCUGGCCCACCUUGCCCUGUCCCUCGAAGCUGCAUUGGAUGUUGGAUCACUUGAGCCACUGCUUCAGAGGGUCUUGCUUGAUUAAACCGUAUUAAUCUGGAAGGAAUACACAGCUUGU